AUCGUGCAGCGCUAGCGGAUGACGGGAGCUUGCUCCUUGAUUCAGCGGCGGACGGGUGAGUAAUGCCUAGGAAUCUGCCGGUAGUGGGGGACAACGUUUCGAAAGGAACGCUAAUACCGCAUACGUCCUACGGGAGAAAGCAGGGGACCUUCGGGCCUUGCGCUAUCAGAUGAGCCUAGGUCGGAUUAGCUAGUUGGUGGGGUAAUGGCUCACCAAGGCGACGAUCCGUAACUGGUCUGAGAGGAUGAUCAGUCACACUGGAACUGAGACACGGUCCAGACUCCUACGGGAGGCAGCAGUGGGGAAUAUUGGACAAUGGGCGAAAGCCUGAUCCAGCCAUGCCGCGUGUGUGAAGAAGGUCUUCGGAUUGUAAAGCACUUUAAGUUGGGAGGAAGGGCAGUAAGUUAAUACCUUGCUGUUUUGACGUUACCGACAGAAUAAGCACCGGCUAACUCUGUGCCAGCAGCCGCGGUAAUACAGAGGGUGCAAGCGUUAAUCGGAAUUACUGGGCGUAAAGCGCGCGUAGGUGGUUUGUUAAGUUGGAUGUGAAAGCCCCGGGCUCAACCUGGGAACUGCAUCCAAAACUGGCAAGCUAGAGUACGGUAGAGGGUGGUGGAAUUUCCUGUGUAGCGGUGAAAUGCGUAGAUAUAGGAAGGAACACCAGUGGCGAAGGCGACCACCUGGACUGAUACUGACACUGAGGUGCGAAAGCGUGGGGAGCAAACAGGAUUAGAUACCCUGGUAGUCCACGCCGUAAACGAUGUCAACUAGCCGUUGGAAUCCUUGAGAUUUUAGUGGCGCAGCUAACCCAUUAAGUUGACCGGCCUGGGGAGUACGGCCGCAUGGUUAAACUCAAAUGAAUUGACGGGGGCCCGCACC
rnacentral:rRNA from 1 species